AUACGUAGGGUGCGAGCGUUGUCCGGAAUUACUGGGCGUAAAGAGCUCGUAGGUGGUUUGUCGCGUCGUCUGUGAAAUUCCGGGGCUUAACUCCGGGCGUGCAGGCGAUACGGGCAUAACUUGAGUACUGUAGGGGAGACUGGAAUUCCUGGUGUAGCGGUGAAAUGCGCAGAUAUCAGGAGGAACACCGGUGGCGAAGGCGGGUCGCUGGGCAGUAACUGACGCUGAGGAGCGAAAGCAUGGGUAGCGAACAGGAUUAGAUACCCUGGUAGUCCAGGCCGUAAACGGUGGGCGCUAGGUGUAGGGGUCUUCCACGACUUCUGUGCCGUAGCUAACGCAUUAAGCGCCCCGCCUGGGGAGUACGGCCGCAAGGCUAAAACUCAAAUGAAUUGACGGGG
rnacentral:rRNA from 1 species